AAAGUCCUAGCUCAGUGGUAGACCAUCUGCUUUACAUGCAGAAGGUCCCAGGUUAAAUCCUUCCAGUUAGGGACUGGA